rnacentral:lncRNA from 1 species
GACAUUUAAGCUCUGUCUCUGCUGAGAAGAGUGCUUCACAUGACAUGCCUUAAAGUCCUGUCUGUGCUAGCAUCUAGACCGGAGACCUAGCUGAAGCAUUCAGGCAUGUCUGCCUUGGAAACACAGGCAUCAAAGCGACAGGAAGAGGAAGCGCCUGGUUCUUACCCUGAUACGGAGUCAGGAUACAGUUAUAGUGUGCAACUGGUCCCGGCAAGAGGUCACCUGCGUGCUCAAGCGAUGGCCAACGUACAGGAGGAUGGCGAUCAUCUGAGAGUCUACAGGCACUUGUGACAAACUAAUUUAUUCCACAUCAACAGGACUGAAGCCAAUUGAACAAAGAACCUCAGUAACAGCCUGACUUGACCAAACCUUGUCAAGAAGCAUUGAAUCUUGGGCACAAUGACAUUCUGCCUUGGAUACUGUAUAGCUGCGUGUUUGUGGAUUUCAAAAGUCAUAUGCAUCAGGGAAGUAAACUCUAAAAACUUCAGUCUUGCAAAAUUCAGGAGUUCUUAUACUGCAGACUACAGAUCAUGUAUCUUCUAAAGCCACUGUUUAACCGUUUUUAAGAUUCUCAUCAACUUUCAAAGCCUUUUGUUAGGAAGCUCUUCAGCUGACAGUAUCGUGGCUUCUGAAGGCAUCUCUCUGAAACACUGUCUGCAACAAGAACGAGAGAUGUCAGCAAAGGAAGCAGAGGGCUGGAUGUGGAACUAACUCCCUUUUGAAAGCACCAGAAUAGUUACAGAUCCUCCUGCUAUGAGACCACUUUUUGUCCAACAGACACAAGAGAAGUACAAUACUAUAAAUAUGAUAGACAAAUUCAGUGCUAACAGUAAGAUAUAAAUGUAGGGAAAAAAAAAGAUGUACCUUUGUGCAUAACUGCUGAAGUAUAUUAGAUACCAUGGAGGCCAGUUGGAUAUAGCUGCCUUAAGAGAGACCAUGGAUUAAGUUUUACCUGACAGUUUUAGAGCAGUGAAGAGAAAGAAGCUUUAAAACAGGACACGCACACCUCAGAAAAGAUUGUCAGAGCCAACAGUGAAAAAUGAGUGUAUGCAGAAAGCUUGGUUAAACUGAGCUUGCUACGAACUUUUUCAGACAACAAUGCCUCGCUUCUCCAGAAGCAUCUGCAGUAUUGCCAUCGUUACUACUGGUUACCAAUUGCCCAGGACUUUGUUAGUAGAAAAAGGAAUUAUUUUUACUCAGAACACUUUAUUCUUAUUGAGCGUCAAUAACUGAAGUGUUGCUGGGAGGGUCUCAUUGUCACCUGACUGUGCCUUUUCACAACCAGUGAGAUUACCAUCAGAAAUAAAGCUGCUCAGUCCAAGUAAUAUUCAGUAAUAAAUUGAUUAUGGACUU